CAGUAGCCACGGUAAUACGAAGGGGGCUAGCGUUGUUCGGAUUUACUGGGCGUAAAGGGCGCGUAGGCGGACUGAUAAGUCAGGGGUGAAAUCCCAAGGCUCAACCUUGGAACUGCCUUUGAUACUGUUUGUCUUGAGUUCGAGAGAGGUAAGUGGAACUGCGAGUGUAGAGGUGAAAUUCGUAGAUAUUCGCAAGAACACCAGUGGCGAAGGCGGCUUACUGGCUCGAAACUGACGCUGAGGCGCGAAAGCGUGGGGAGCAAACAGGAUUAGAUACCCGCGUAGUCCCUGUCUCUUAUAC
rnacentral:rRNA from 1 species